GUGACCAAAACAUCUCAAUUCGAAUUCUCAAAAGUUCCAAAUUCAACAUGGGAUUGGGAGUUUUACCAUUUCUCUUGCUUCCACCUCCUUCUGCUGCUUCUAUACCUGCAUCUCUAAGGUAUAUUAUGUAGCUACGUUAAAUACUCAGACCCAUAGUGGAAGAUGCAUGUGAUUUAAACCAAAAUUUGAUGUAGUUUUCGACCAACAUUAUGGAUCAGAUCCCUUAAGUAAGGUGCAUGGAAGAUGCAAAACUCAACUAUACCGAGAAUAACAGAGUCUCCACAUUAAGAGUGAAAAAGAUUUCUAGAAGGGCGAUUCUUCAAUUUCUGGGUGUUAAUCACAUGAUAUGUUAUGCUUCUCCUGCUUUGGCUGCACCAAUUAUGCCAGACAUGAAGGAUCCUGAAGUCAUACGGUUUUACUUUGUUUUUCUUUAAUUUUAUUACCUAAUCUUAUUGGUGUGAUGAAGUGAGAAAUGAUGGUGUAUUGUGAUUUGUGAUUUACUGUUUUUUAUGCGAAGCAUCUAGGACUUUGAAGCUACCUAGUGGAGUGAGAAUUCAAGGUAAAGAAUUCUAUAACUUCCGUGUUACACAGUCCUUGAGUAAAAUGAAGUUGUGUGUGGGGGAAAUUGUUGAUGCUAGAACACUUUGAGGUUUAACACUGAUGAUGUUUGAUGCAAAGCCUUAAAGCCUUAUUUUCAUUUGUGUGUGUGAGUUUGUUUUUCCCCACAUUCGAUGUUACUAAAUCACGUUUGACAGGAAACAAAAUCAAUUUUGAUACUUUCACCGUGAAACCAAACACACACUUAGCAGAACGUGAUUCUUUCAUGCUUCUUCAAAAUAAGGGUGAAAGAACUUGGUUCUUGAUAGAAAAAUUGAAACAUGAUGUGUAAAGUUAUGGCACAAAUUUCUUCCAUAUUUCCUGUUCUGA